ensembl:lncRNA
GGGACAGUGGCUGCAAAUGAGCUAUUACGUAGCUAUUUGAACAUAAAUUCAACUGAAUCUUCACUCUGACCAAUACUUUAGGCCACAAUGAACUGAACUUUGAAUGAUGAAUGCUCAUUGUGAAUUUAUAACCCCUUACUUUCCUCUAUGUGGUUACAUGCAUCUCUUUCUCUCUCACUUUUGGUCUUCCACUCAUCACUCAACACUCAUCUUUUCCUGUCCCCGGCUGAGGUGUCUGUGGGUCUAGGUGACGAAGAAAAUGAUCAUAGAGCAUUGUGGGCUGAAAGACCUCCCUCAACAUAGACCCUUCAGCCCAGCAGAAUGUUUCAGAAUUAGAAGUGAGCAACAGAACAAGAUGAAGUUCACUCUAUUUGCUGCCUUUAUUUUCUCUGUAGGGUGGAUGAGUGUUGUGGAAGCAGUAGUUGAUGGACCUCCAACACACUGCUGUAAUACUGUGACAACCAUCGCAGUAGAAGCUACAAACAUUGUGGACUAUUUUAUACAACGAUCAGUGCUAUGUCCUGUCAGAGCUGUAAGAUUCCUGACCAAGAAAAAUAUAGUUAUUUGUUCAGAUCCUGAUAGCAAAUGGGCUAAGAAAGUAAUGGGGAUAGUGGAUAGGAGAAAAAAAACAACAACACCUUCCCAAAAACCUACUACGUGCUAUACAAGUACAACAAACGUGAGCCCAACUGUAACUACAACAAACAAAACACCGGGAACAGAGACUGAGACCAGCACGAGUACAACUGUAACACCAGCAGUGAUGACUAUCAAAACAUCUGGACCAGAGACGAGCACGAGUACAACUGUAACACCAGCAGGGACGACAAUCAAAACAUCUGGACCAGAGACCAGCAUGAGUAUAGCUGUAACACCAGCAGUGACGACAAUCAAAACAUCUGGACCAGAGACCAGCAUGAGUAUAGCUGUAACACCAGCAGUGACGACAAUCAAAACAUCUGGACCAGAGACCAGCACGAGUACAACUGUAAGACCAGUAGUGACGACAAUCAAAACAUCUGGACCAGAGACCAGCACGAGUAUAACUGUAAGACCAGUAGUGAUGACAAUCAAAACAUCUGGACCAGAGACCAGCAUGAGUACAACUGUAACACCAGCAGUGACGACAAUCAACACAUCUGGACCAGAGACCAGCAUGAGUGCAACUGUACCACCAAUAGUGACAACAAUAAAAACAUCUGGACCAGAAACCAGCACGAGUACAACUGUAACACCAGCAGUGACGACAAUCAAAACAUCUGGACCAGAAACCAGCACGAGUGCAACUGUACCACCAAUAGUGACAACAAUCAAAACAUCUGGACCAGAAACCAGCACGAGUACAACUGUAACACCAGUAGUGACAACAAUCAAAACAUCUGGACCAGAGACAAAGAUCAGCAAAACANNNNNNNNNNNNNNNNNNNNNNNNNNNNNNNNNNNNNNNNNNNNNNNNNNNNNNNNNNNNNNNNNNNNNNNNNNNNNNNNNNNNNNNAUAUAUAUAUAUAUAUAUAUAUAUAUAUUAUGGACAAGUAUUUAGUGAGAGACAAAUAUGAUCUGAAACUGCAGUGAUGGAAAAGAGGCCUUCAUCAUAUCGAUAACUUACCAAAGUGAGGGUGCAGUGUCACACUAUCACCACAUGGUGGGAGACUCACCUAGAGAAGCGUUUCUAGUUAACUGCAGCCCUUAGUUAACCAUGACAACGCUCAGUCAAGUCAGUUAACAGUUUUACACCAGUAGAGUUAAACUGAUUGUGAAUGUACAACAGCAUAAAGCCUUGAAAACAGUUGAAAAUCAACAGAC